rnacentral:misc_RNA from 1 species
CACGGAAUCAUGUUGAAUUGACCUAAUUGUGCCCUUGAUACAUAACACCCUGCUUCAGCCAGGCUGAAGUUGCAAAAACAUAGAAAAAUUACCGCUCAAGGUCGAUAAUAAGGAAAUAUUAAAGCAUUUAGCGCAAGAAACAUGGUCUACUUGCAUACUUCUCGAAAAUGUUUCGUCAGUAAUGAAAGUUGAGCAGUUCAAGCAAAAAUAAAGGCAAUACAUUGGUUGUUUCCAAAAAAAAAAAAAAAAAAAAAAAAAAAAAAAACAACCGAAGCAACUCGGAGACAAACUAGUGCACCCACAACAGUAAGCACAAACAACAUUUAAGUAAUGAUU